CCAGAGAAAGCCAAGGGGUAAGGAAAAGAAGAAAAAAAAAAAAAAAGGGCCAGGAGGGGCGGCUCACUCCGCCGGGGAGCGAGCGGGCCCCCGCACAUGCGCACCGGGGUGGAAGAGCCCACAUGCGCCGCAUAAUAGGAACGGCCCCUCCCCCACCCAGAAGCACGCCAGGCUCCCGACCACUCCAGCAGCCCUCGGCGCCUCAGUUUCCCGCUCCGAGCCUGCGAGUCGGCUCUAGGGACGUCCGUGGGGCCCGGCCACCAGAGGAGCCACGCCGACUCGGCUCCUUACUCGACUCCUGCAUGGGCGAUAUCGUCUGGCCCCCAACCCAAGAACCCACCGCCCCAUUCCCCAAGUGAAGGCCCCGGAGCCUUCCCCAACUACUCCAACCUAUUUCCUCAAGGCCGCAAGCCCCUGGCCGCCUCACCGCGGGUCCUCGAACUCAACGAAGGCGAAGGGCGGUCCUCCGCGGCGAUUCUUCAGGUCGAUGUCGCGGAUAGCACCGUAUUUGUAGAACACGUCCUCAAUGUCCUUGGUUCGGAUGUCUGGAGGUAAGUUACCCACGUAGAUGCGGCAAUCGUUGUUCCCUGCCGGGCCACGGAUCACACCACCUCCCGACAUGGCGGCGACGAAAAGCGCGGACUCGAGAACAGGCCUUCCCACCAAGCCUAGCGAGCGGGAGAGCGAGCCCGCAGCGACACCACGUCUCCCGCGGCCCCUCCAAAAUGGCGCCUUUAUCAGCUCGGCGCACGGAUAUGGGGGGGAGGGAGGAAGAGAAGCGGGAGGAAGCAGCUAUUCGAUCUCACUACGCACGCGCAAGAGCGUAACGGGUGCUGCGAGAGUGACGCUCGCGCAAGCGCGACGUCACCCUCCGCGCGAAGGGAAAAAAGUUCCCGCCUUCCCGAUUUGUCGAGGGGUUUAAUAAGGGAGUGACCAGCCUUGUGGCAAAAUUAAAUAUAGAGCUCUCGUAAAAGGGGUUAUUAAUCUCUGUCGAAUCCUAAAGAAUCAGCAGUUUCCUCAGGAAUGUUUCUCUCAAAAAAACGGCGUCUUGAAAGUAUUUGGUGAAACCUAGCCUAAAGCUAGGUCCCACCAUGCUCUGCGCUGUUAACGGCCUUUGGCGGGAAAGACUGCCGGGGGCGGAGUCAAAGGGGGAGGGACCAGGCGGUUGCUCCGGAAACACGGGCAUCCUUGGAGAGUGCACCUCGUUCAGGAGUCGCGUUGCGGGUGAAUCAACGCGGAGCCGAGACGUGACUUUGUCUUCCCGCCCCAUCUGCGAACGGGCCGUGGACUGCUUGGACGACUGUCUAAUGCAGGGGAACCUGGCUGAGACGCUUUAAUAAAUAUUCUACGCUAAGUACCGUUCCACCUUCGGUUCAGAACUGACCUCAGUUCAACGCUCCUUGUGCUCGUGGCGGUAAUUCCUGGCGGCAUCAGCCAACCAGGACCCAGACCUCUGCUUCUUUUUUAAAUCACCUAUCGCCAGGGCCCAGCGCAGCGGAGAGGUCCAGUGAAGGUUUGCAGAAUGAAUUGUGUCUGUUAUUUCUACAACGUCUUUCAAAGAACGAAAAAGACGCGCGCCCUCCUGUUUGUAUUGCAGAAUCCUGACGUUCCUUCCUUUUUUGGAACUCAUUAGCAAAUCUCUCAGGUAAUAUGAAUGAGCAAAGUGGAUGUGUGAGGAUUUCUGUGACCACUGGAGACCGAAGUGGCGGCUUAAGGACUCAUCUCGCCAGCAUGUUGGUCCAGGGAGAUAAGAACUUGUUACAUUUUGCCACGGAGCCAUCUGAAAUCUGGAUUUUUAUAUGAAAUACUGGGAUUUUAAAAUAUUAAUGGUGAAUUCAAAUUAAAAAAAAAACCCUGUCAUAAAUAUGCUGAAACAGGUCUGCACCCUGAUUGAGAGGAUGAUUUUCUUCAUUUUUAUUUAUUCGCAUCAAUCCCUCUCCCCAGUGAUGUGAUGCUGUUUACAGAGAUACCAGAAAACGUUAUUGCAAUUGAAUGGAGAAAUCACGGAGAAUAUAAGGGGAAAUUAAAAUGAAGUCAUGGAUAAAGUUAAUACACAAAAUGGCUGCAGUAAAAAUUUGUGAGUUCUAAAGAUGGAUUACAAAUUUGACCCUAGUCAUCAUGGCAGUCACAGUAAAGAAGGAAACAGUAUAUUCAAGAUCCAAAGUGCCUUAAAAAGAUUUUUCAGAAGGUCAUGUUUUCAGUUCUAAAAGGCGAUUGCAUGUAUUUUAACAGUGUUCUCAGUAAUCCCAAAAUGCAAAUUUAAUUUGCUGCUCAACAGAUUCACAGAAGAUCUUUAGUAGUAGUCCUUGAAAUCUGAUGGUUUUCAAAACUGGGUAUCGCACAGUUUUUUUGUCUUUUAGAUCAUCCUCCAAUGAUAGAUAUUUUUUUUCUUCCUGCGGCAUGUGGAAGAUUCCAGGCUAGGGUUAAAAUCAGAGCUGCAGCUGCCAGCCUACACCACAGCCACAGCAAUGCAGGAUCUGAGCUGCAUCUGUGACCUAUGCCACAGCUUGCGGCAACGCUGGGUCCUUAACCCACUGAGCAAGGUUGGGGAUCGAACUCGCCUCCUCAUGGAUACUAGUCGGAUUCUUUUUUUUUUUUUUUUUUUUUUGUCUUUUUGCUGUUUCUUGGGCCGCUCCCACAGCGUAUGGAGGUUCCCAGGCUAGGGGUCGAAUCGGAGCUGUAGCCACUGGCCUAUGCCAGAGCCACAGCAACUCGGGAUCCGAGCCGCGUCUGCAACCUACACCACAGCUCACGGCAACGCCGGAUCCUUAACCCACUGAGCAAGGGCAGCUACCGAACCCGCAACCUCAUAGUUCCUAGUCGGAUUCGUUAACCACUGUGCCACGACAGGAACUCCCAAGUCGGAUUCUUAACCUGCUGAGCUACAACAGGAACUCCUCAAUGAUAUAUUUUUAAACCAAACUUUCAAUUUAAAAGAAGACACUGAUAAUUUUUAAAAUGAGAAGCUGACUAAAAGGGACACUAUUUCAACAAAUUUAUUUAGUCCUAUUUGGUUAGUAGCAGAAGAGAUGAGAGGUUUUUUUUUUUUUAAUUGCAGGUGUACAAUGUGUUGGUUCUUACAUUCAGUAGGUUUACUGAGCACAGUUUCUUUCUGUUCUAACUUUCUCCAUUCACUUGUUGUUAUUCAGAUUUGUCUUCUGUUGAUUAAUAUUAAGUUGAUAAACCAAAGUAGUUUAAACAUAAGUGCUUAUAAUUUCAAGGCAUCUUCAUUCCAGAAAAAUAAGAAAACUAUGAAUUUGCUUCGAUUUAUUCUUGUCCAAUUUAAUGCAGCCAUUUCUGAUUUUGUUCAGGUAUGCGGGUAGAAUUUAGUAUACAGUGAAUAGGACAUUCUUAUUUCUCUAUCAGCUUCUCUUAUUUUAUUUGAAUGUCACCAAAUUAUAGGUUCUAGGGUCUAUGACAAGGUCAGGAGCUAGCAGGAAAAGUCUGGGCGGCUGUUUAUCAGAUCUCCUAGGAUGACAUUAGCUGAAAAUGAUUACAUUUAAGGGUGUGAUCUUCUACUGUCAGUGUCCCAGACUGGCAUGUUUUGGUCCACAAGAGUAAAAAGCAAGACAACAAAUAUCCAAACCAUUUGUUCAUUUGUUUGGGGCUGGGGGCGGGGUGAGGCAGUUCUUUUUCUUUUUCUUUUUUUUUUUUUUGUCUUUUUUGGGGCUGGUUCCCAGGCUAGGAGUCUCGUUGGAGCUGUUGCCCCUGGCCUAUGCCAGAGUCACAGCAGCGCCAGAUCCGAGCUGUGUCUGGGACCUAUACCACAGCUUAAGGCAACGCUGGACCCGUAACCCACUGAGUGAGGCCAGGGAUCCAACCCGCAACCUCAUGGUUCUUAGUCGGAUUCAUUUCCACUGCCCCAUGAUAGGAACUCCUAGGCAAUUCAUUUUUGAUAACCAGGAUAUUCAGAUUGUACCUACCAAGAAAACUUUUGGCAGGUCUAGAAAGCAAAUCAGGCAGUUUCUUAGUAAAUGAGGAAUCAAAAGAAAAGGAAGUGAAUUGUUUUGAGAGAGAGUUGAUUCAGGUCUUGGUGAGACCUGAUAAAUGAUCCCUGCCCCUCAACAGGAUCACACCCUCUGGAUUUUGUCUCUCUGUUCCCUGAAUAAUACUGGGUCAAGAUUGGCAAUUCCCUUUCUGUAGUCUUAUCUUCUUUCUCUAAACAGUUGCUAGACAGUUGAAUUGAUUUCUGCUAACCUGAUUGUAACCACUUCGGUUUUGGCUCCUGAGAUUAUAUCCUCAUCUUAAUUGGAGCCUUGGAGUGUUUCUAAACUUCUCAGUUACACAUCCACAGACAGUUUUAUAGAUUGCUCCCACAACCAGCUAAUUUAUUAAGUAUGGAUUUUACCCUUUUAGUUCUCAGAAGCUGCCUUAUUUUCAACACUUUAUGUAAAUUACUUCCUCAAAAGAAACUUUUUAAACGCUUUCGAUUCAAUCCAGUAAGUAUAAAGUGUCAGCACUGUAUUUUGCCUUGAGGAUAAAAAAGGAAAGAAGGAAAUUCAGAGUUAGUUACUGUAAGAGUUGAAGUCGCAAGACCCAAUUUUUCAGUGAUUUUCCAAACACUUAAAACUCUAUACCUCUUAGAAUGAUGUGAUAAGAUAGUUGCACAGCUCUGUAAGUAUACUAAAAAUCGUUGAAUUGUACAGUUGAAGGGAGUGAAUUAUAUGUAAAUUAUAACUCUACAAAUUUUUUUAAGCGACUUGGGGAAAAAAUAUUUCCAACAAUCAGCAGAAUCACGCUUUCCAUUCUUCUAAAGGCAUUGUUGGGGGUGAGCGGUGCUGUAGAGUAAUUUGCACUGAAACAUGGCUUCCCUAAUUUGGAAAUUCUGUUUUCCAUAUUCAUGUGUCAACCUCUCCUGUCCCUUCUGGAGAUGACUGUUACUUUUACUAGGUGGACACAAAGAUUAGGACUCUUGAUUCCACUGUGUGUAGGAAUCACCUCCAGGAACUGUUCACUUGUGUAAUUCUCUAUUCUCUUGUUCCACUUGUUUUAAUGACUAAUACUCUCUGAAGACAAAAGGAAAUAACAUGGUAUGUUAUCUUUUUGUUUCAUUUAUAUUUGUCUCAUCUUCCAUAGUAAACUAUGUUGAGGACAGGUUUCUAUUGUAACUCCCUUUAUUACCAGUAAAUUUUUUGUUAAAAUGAGUGUUAUUAACUAUUUACUGACUGCUCUUUGAGAAAGAUGGGGCACAGAAUGUUUCUAUGGAAACUGCAUCAUGUUUCUGUCAGUGAAUAGACACAAUGGGUGUUUCACAUUUCCUGGCCACAUGAUGGCCACUUUUCAGGCCCAAAUAAAUUAUCUAGUAAUAUAGGCUUGGAAAUCUUAUUUUGGGACUGGCCUCCCUCAUUCUUUGAUAAUUCUUGUUUUGUUUUUGGCUGAUUCUUCCCAUCUUUAUUAUCCUAUUAUGGAUAACAGUAGUAUAUGAUAUUACCAGAAACAACUCUUAGAAUGGUGUAUUCCAAAGAGUUAUAUUUUCAGAGUUCCCAUCAUGGUGUGGUGGAAACAAAUCCGACUAGGAACCAUGAGGUUGCGGGUUCAAUCCCUGGCCUUGCUCAGUGGGUUAAGGAUCUGGCAUUGCCAGGAGCUGUGGUGUAGGUAGCAGAUGUGGCUCGGUUCUUGCAUUGCGGUGGCUGCGGCGUAGGCCGGCAGCUAUAGCUCUGAUUUGACCUCUAGCCUGGGAACCUCCAUGUGCUGAGGGAGUGGCUCUAAAAAAAAAAAAAACACAAAAAAACCCCAAAGAGUUAUAUUUUCACCAUGUCUCUCUCUCCUAUUAAUAUUAUUCCUCUCUUCCUCUUCCUGCUUAAUUCCUUCUCUUCAAAAUUAAAACUUCGGGAGUUCCCUGGUGGUACAAUGGGUUAGGAUCUGGGAUUGUCACUGCUGUGGCUUGGGUCACUAUAGCUCCAGUCACUUCUGUGUCAUGGGUUUGAGCCCUGGCCCUGGAACUUCUACAUGCCAUGGGUGCAACCAAAAAAAACCUCAAACUCUAGUUCAUCAUUAUUGUACCUUUCCUAAUUGGGAUAGAUGGCUGUUUAAAGAAUUAUUAUUAAUAUUGCAGAUACGCUUUAUUUGCCAAAAAUUCUACCUUUUUUAGCAAUUUAAUCUAUGUAAUAGUGGUAUUAUAUGUUAAUACUAGUGACAAAUAUGUUAUAAAUAUAUAUUUUUUUGAAGUUUUCA